ACUUUCGCUUUCUCCAUUUCAACUUUCAUUCUCCCCCAAUUCUUCAUCGGAAAUAAAACCCUUGUUUUUCUCUCCCCGAUUCAUCCUCUCACCGAUUGAUUCACUGAUUACAGUUUUUUUUUCAUUUUCUCUGUCUCCUAAGGUCAGAGUUAGGGUUAGGGUUUUUGCUGUUUUUCGAUUCAAUCGGAGGAAGAAGAUGUCGUUGAGACCAAAUGCUAGGACUGAAGUGCGCCGCAGCAGGUACAAGGUAGCGGUGGAUGCGGAAGAAGGAAGGCGGAGGAGAGAGGAUAACAUGGUUGAGAUUCGUAAGAAUCGUCGCGAAGAAAACUUGCAGAAAAAGCGUCGUGAAGGUUUUCAGUCUACUACUGCACCGCAAUUUCCAUCGCAACCUUCUGGUGCUCCUGAUAAAAAGAUUGAUAGCUUGCCGCAGAUGGUUGCUGGUGUUUGUUCUGAUGAUGGAAAUGCUCAACUUGAAGCUACUACUCAUUUCCGGAAGUUGCUUUCUAUAGAGCGCAACCCUCCUAUUGAAGAAGUUGUUCAAUCAGGAGUUGUUCCCCGUCUUGUUGAAUUUUUGGGAAGAGAUGAUUUUCCACAACUUCAGUUUGAGGCUGCUUGGGCACUUACAAACAUUGCUUCUGGCACUUCCGAGAACACUAAGGUUGUCAUUGAUCAUGGAGCUGUUCCGAUUUUUGCUAAGCUUCUUGUUUCACCAAGUGAUGAUGUUCGUGAACAGGCUGUUUGGGCUUUGGGGAAUAUUGCUGGUGAUUCACCAAAAUGCCGAGAUUUGGUCCUUGCCCAUGGUGCUUUAAUGCCAUUGCUAGGUCAGUUCAACGAGAAUGCCAAACUGUCUAUGUUGCGAAAUGCCACAUGGACCUUGUCAAACUUCUGCAGAGGCAAGCCACAACCAUCAUUUGACCAGACGAAACCAGCCCUUCCAACUCUUGAGAGGCUUAUUCAUUCAAAUGAUGAUGAAAUCCUCACGGAUGCUUGUUGGGCACUGUCUUAUCUUUCUGAUGGUACAAAUGACAAGAUCCAAGCUGUAAUUGAAGCUGGAGUCUGCUCCCGGCUUGUAGAGCUUUUACUUCAUGCUUCUCCUUCUGUGCUCAUUCCUGCACUUCGUACUGUUGGAAAUAUUGUUACUGGUGAUGACAUGCAGACUCAGUGCAUUAUAGAGCAUCAGGCUCUUCCUUGCCUCCUCAACUUGUUGAACCAGAGUUACAAGAAGAGUAUAAAAAAAGAAGCUUGUUGGACAAUUUCCAACAUCACUGCUGGAACAAAGGAGCAGAUACAAGCUGUUAUCGAGGCGGGUAUUAUAGCUCCUUUAGUCCAUCUUCUCCAAAAUGCUGAGUUUGACAUCAAGAAGGAGGCUGCUUGGGCUAUUUCAAAUGCUACGUCUGGAGGUUCCCCUGACCAAAUAAAAUUUUUGGUGAGCCAGGGAUGCAUUAAGCCAUUAUGUGAUCUUUUAGUUUGUCCUGAUCCAAGAAUUGUCACAGUUUGCUUGGAAGGUCUUGAAAAUAUAUUGAAAAUCGGAGAAGCUGAGAAGAAUUUGGGUACAUCUGGAGGUAUCAACGUUUAUGCUCAGAUGGUUGAGGAUGCAGAAGGUCUAGAUAAGAUAGAGAAUCUCCAGAGUCAUGACAACAAUGAAAUUUAUGAGAAGGCAGUCAAGAUUUUGGAGACUUACUGGGUUGAUGAUGAAGAUGAAGCAUUGCCUUCUGCUGAGGGUGCUCAAAAUGGGUUUGAGUUCGGUGGAAAUGAACUCAAUGUUCCACAAGGUGGAUUCAAGUUUGGUUAAAGGCUAUAGUUUACUUCAACAGAAGUCUGCCUUGUUGAUAAUUUACCUAGGCAAUAUAGUAUGGAAAUGGAUGUGCAUCUUGGUGGGUCGAUUGAAGUCCCAGUUUGAGGGUUGAUAUAUUGUGCGUAUAUCCAGAUUGUUUUCGGUCCAGCCUCUCAGCCAUGGUCGAGGUGCUUGCUAAGCACUUCAACAUUUGUGCCACACCAUCGUCAACGAGUCAUCUCGUUAUUAAUCUUUUGCAGUGUCCUAUUCAGUUGAGUCGAUUCAACAGUCGGGUAGUCAGUGCAGCUAUACAGUUACAUGAGUUUUUUUGGGGUCAUAUAUAUAUGUUAGUUAGGCUGCAUAAUAAGAGGAUGGAGCAAAUGUAUUUUUGGGUCAAGAGAUUUCCAUCUCUAUUUUAUACUAAAAUAUUAUGUAUUCCAUACUUGUAGAUGGAAAGCCCUCUUCUUGAGGGCUAUUCUGUUUAUGUUUGGGGAGGAAAUAUAUCUCGAGUCUGUUAAGAAGUCACAUGAUGAAGUUAAGUCAUAUAAUGUGGAUUUUUUGAGGUUUUAUUACAGAAGUCUAAUUAUAUUA